GGGGAGGGCAAUGAACAACACGGGAAAACGUUACCGGCCAGGACACUGGGAGGAUUGAGACAUUGAGUGCUCUGUUUAGAUUUGGUGGACGGUGGUUCAUGGCCGUUCUUAACUGGUGGAGCGAUUUGUCUGGUUAAUUUAGAUAACGAACGAGACUCCAGCCUAUUAUUCAUGUUCGGGAUCAUUAGCACCUUACAAUUUCUUAGAGGGACAAGCGGCUCCUAGACGCACGAAACAAUGCAAUAAUAGGUAUGUGAUGCCGUUACAUGUUCGGGGCCGCACGCGUGACACUGAAGGAAGCAGCGUGGUUUUUCUCUGUCUCAAAAGACGGGGUAACCUCCUUCCUUCUUGACUGGGAUAGGGGCUUGCAAUUAGUCUCCCUGUACGAGGAAUUCCCAAUAAGUGCGAGUCAUAAGCUAGCGUUUAUUAC
rnacentral:rRNA from 1 species